rnacentral:lncRNA from 1 species
CCACGUCAACUCCAACAGCAAUCCUCGUGUCCCCCCAACCAGACCCUGUCUACCAUCGCUCCACCGCCACGGUCCCCCUAUACAGAGGUCCACUGUAACGGGUCGUUUAUAGACAACUCCCAAAAGGCGGCUUACAGUGUGAUCAUAUUUGAUUCAUCCGGAAACGUGACAAAUGGGAGGGUCGGGACUUUCCUCUGCUCUUUUGCAUUGGCUUCGGAAGCUAGAGCUCUCCUCGAGGCAGUGUCCAUGGCAGCUACAGUCACAGGCCCCUGCCUCAUACGCUCGGAAUGCCUGCCUCUUAUCCAAGCAAUCAACGGAUCGAAGCACUGAUGGCCUUGAGAGUGUUACGGGAUUCGAGGGAGCAUUGAUUUCAUACGUCUAACUAGGCCUCAUAUCACCUUCUGCCACUUUCCCAGAGCCUCAAACGCCAGAGCUAACAGCAUAACAAAAUCAGCAAGGUUAUAUACACUCCUGCCAGGGUGGAUCACAACCUUGAUGUAACUUUCACAUGAUAUUACCCAUGAAAAAAAAACAGUCCAAAUUUAGGGUGGCUCAGAUUUGGUCGAACCCAAUAUAUUUGAAUGGUCAAUACACAAUUUUUCCAACCGAGCAACUCUACUUUAUAAACUGGUUCAAUCUAUUUGUUAACGAUUUCGAAAAUAUGGGGAUAAAUGCAGUACAAAGUUGAGAGGAUGAGAGAAAAUUACGAGAAUGUACCAUAGGGGAUCAAGUAUAAUGUUUUUUCAAAUUUGACCCUAGGGGUGGGUAGAACUUAAAAGAGUAGUAACACACCAUCCCAGUCUCUCCACUACUUCACUGAACUGAACCUUUUUUGAAAUCAACUUAAUAGAAAGUUAACUAUCUACAAAAUAAAGAAUCAAUAUCAUAAUACUAAAUAUUCAUAAAGUUUUAUAUUUUGAAAGCGUUGUAGAACAAAUUCAAUUCGAUCUUUUCGGCUCAAUCCACUAACCAUUCUGAAUUCGUUUUGGAUUAGAGGAAUACGAUGCAAGUUAACAUUAUUUGAUAGCAAUUAACGUGGAUGACUGAUAUAUUGUAUUGUUACACUACACAACGCAGGCGGAGGAAUCCCGCGCCAACAAAAGAAGAAACCAGGAGACGAAGAAGACGGCGGCAUCUUCCUCUUCGACAUCGCCACCACCAGAAGAUCACCGCAACAAGCCGAGAUCAGACGGAACAACUCAACAACAAAACCACCGCCGCUGCAGGAGAUCAGCUCGUCCGGCCACCGACGGAGCAGAAGCGAGAGCAGGGCGAUGGCGGAGAGCGUGGAGUGGGGAGAGAAGCGGGAGAUGGGGAGGAUAGGGCUGGAUCUGCACGACCAGAUUUGCAAGGACUUGGUUGAAGAGCUGGUUAGGGAGAUCAUUGGACUUUCCUGCUUUAACAACUAGGCUACUACUACUACUACUGUGAGAUGAAGCAGACGAAGAAGACGGAGAUUGCUGAUACUUCUUCUUCGACUUCUUCUUCGUCUCUUUGCCAAACGCUGCCGUUUGACUCCUGUAAGCGGAGUCUACGUUUCUAAGGGACAGCUGAUUUUUUGGGUUUGGGUUGGUUCGGGUUUGUGGGUUGGUUUUCUCAUGUGGUUGGAUGUUCUAUUCAUGUGGUGUUAGUCAGAUUGGAAUCUUACCUUCAGUUGCAAAACAUAACUCCAUAAGAGUUAGAGAAGAAUCUUACUUCAAAAGCAGUGGAUUAAAUUCCACGAAAAUUAUUUCACUUUUAUUUGUUGAUUUUUGAAUUCAACUUAAUCUAACUUUAAGUUUUAUGUUUCAGAAUUCGAGAGGAUUAUUUCCAACAAAAC